CUAUGUUACUGUUCCCACUAUGUUACUGUUCCCACCAGGUUACUGUUCCCACUAUGUUACUGUUCCCACCAGGUUACUGUUCCCACUAUGUUACUGUUCCCACCAGGUUACUGUUCCCACUAUGUUACUGUUCCCACCAGGUUACUGUUCCCACCAGGUUACUGUUCCCACCAGGUUACUGUUCCCACUAUGUUACUGUUCCCACCAGGUUACUGUUCCCACCAGGUUACUGUUCCCACUAUGGUACUGUUCCCACCAGGUUACUGUUCCCACUAUGGUACUGUUCCCACCAGAUUACUGUUCCCACUAUGUUACUGUUCCCACCAGGUUACUGUUCCCACUAUGUUACUGUUCCCACUAUGGUACUGUUCCCACCAGGUUACUGUUCCCACUAUGUUACUGUUCCCACUAUGGUACUGUUCCCACCAGGUUACUGUUCCCACUAUGUUACUGUUCUCACCAGGUUACUGUUCCCACUAUGUUACUGUUCUCACCAGGUUACUGUUCCUACUAUGUUACUGUUCCCACUAUGUUACUGUUCUCACCAGAUUACUGUUCCCACUAUGUUACUGUUCCCACCAGGUUACUGUUCCCACUAUGUUACUGUUCUCACCAGAUUACUGUUCCCACUAUAUUACUGUUCCCACCAGGUUACUGUUCCCACUAUGUUACUGUUCCCACCAGGUUACUGUUCCCACCAGGUUACUGUUCCCACUAUGUUACUGUUCCCACUAUGUUACUGUUCCCACUAUGUUACUGUUCCCACUAUGUUACUGUUCCCACUAUGUUACUGUUCCCACCAUGUUAC
ensembl:lncRNA